rnacentral:piRNA from 1 species
UGCAAUUCCGUGCCAUUGUAUGUC